rnacentral:rRNA from 1 species
AGUGAACGCUGGCGGUAGGCCUAACACAUGCAAGUCGAACGGCAGCACAGUAAGGGCUUGCUCUUACGGGUGGCGAGUGGCGGACGGGUGAGGAAUACAUCGGAAUCUACUUUUUCGUGGGGGAUAACGUAGGGAAACUUACGCUAAUACCGCAUACGACCUACGGGUGAAAGCAGGGGAUCUUCGGACCUUGCGCGAUUGAAUGAGCCGAUGUCGGAUUAGCUAGUUGGCGGGGUAAAGGCCCACCAAGGCGACGAUCCGUAGCUGGUCUGAGAGGAUGAUCCGCCACACUGGAACUGAGACACGGUCCAGACUCCUACGGGAGGCAGCAGUGGGGAAUAUUGGACAAUGGGCGCAAGCCUGAUCCAGCGAUACCGGGUGGGUGAAGAAGGCCUUCGGGUUGUAAAGCCCUUUUGUUGGGAAAGAAAAGCAGCAGGUUAAUACCCCGCUGUUCUGACGGUACCCAAAGAAUAAGCACCGGCUAACUUCGUG